rnacentral:rRNA from 1 species
UACGGGGGGAGCAAGCGUUGUUCGGAUUUACUGGCGUAAAGGGCGCGUAGGCGGCCAGCACAGGUCAGUUGUGAAAUCUCCGAGCUUAACUCGGAAAGGUCAACUGAUACUGUGCGGCUAGAGUGCGGAAGGGGCAACUGGAAUUCUUGGUGUAGCGGUGAAAUGCGUAGAUAUCAAGAGGAACACCUGCGGCGAAGGCGGGUUGCUGGGCCGACACUGACGCUGAGGCGCGAAAGCCAGGGGAGCGAACGGG